ensembl:lncRNA
GGGGAAAUGGCCUUAAGUUGUGCCAAGGUAAGUUUAGGUUUGAUAUCAGGAAAAACUUCUUUACUGAAAGGGUUGUUAAGCACUGGAAUAGGCUCCCCAGGGAGGUGGUUGUGUCACCAUCCCUGGAUGUGUUUAAAAACCAUUUGGAUGUGGUGCUCAGGGACAUGAUUUAGCGGAGGGUUGUUAGAGUUAGGCUAGUAUGGCUAGAUCAUGGUUGGAUUUGAUGAUCUUUAAGGUCUUUUCUAUGAUUCCUUGAGAUCUGUGGUGGUUCUUCUUUCCAUAGUUGCCAUUUUACUCUUCUGGAACUGCAUGAAAGCUUCUGAAAAACAGUUUUACCUACACUGUCUUCAUCCUUUUGCUUUACAUAAUAUUCUAGUAUGCCUGAGACUCAAUAAAUAAAGUAAGAAGCAGCAGAAAUAUAAAACAUGCUUGCAGUGAUCAGUAUCAUGUAAGCAAUAUGCUAUAUGUAGUGUAGCAUACCCUUUGAACUUAUAACAUCUUUGUGCACAAGAAUCAUAUUGCUAUGGUAUAGGCAAAACAUGACAAAUGUGAUUAAUGGAGGCCAAGACAUAAUUUUAGGGGAUGAAAAGGAGUCAGUGAGACAGCUGGAGAAGUCAAAAAGCAUGAGUUUUGCCAGAUAGGCUCUAAGGAAUCCUCCCUAAAGCCGCACCAGGAGCUGUGAAUAUCUUUGCUGGAAGACAAGAUUUUGAGUAUAUAGCAGCAGUCUUUUUCAAUCAUCAUCCACACUGCCAACCACAGGAAUUAAAAAAUCAUGAUUCAGACACCAAGACAACUUGGAACUGACUCACACUUGAUGGUAUCUGGAAAAAUAGGGUUUUAUACAUCUUACUGAGCCUCUAGGUACUUUCAUGAUCCCUUUUCCUUCAGAUUUCUUCAAGGAUCUUGGUUUCAUUAAAAUAAAAAGAAGAGUAUUUUGUGAUCCCCUAAGUUCUAAGAAAACUUCAGAUUACUGAAAGCUGAAGGCAGCAUGAAGGGAUCCAUGCAGGCCUGACUCCUGACUCCGAAUUAGUUAAUCCUUAAGCAGAUAGCUCAUGGAAAGGGAAGGAAUAAGGCUGUGAAAAUAGCAGGUAGGGAAAGGAUGCUCAUUUGGAGGGCAUAAAAUUGUCUAUUGCUCUUCCUCCACAAAUUUUAUCACUGGGUGAACAAAGGUUGAAGAGUCAGACGAUCGUGCUGCAACAUCUCUAACACAUUCAGACUUCUACUGCAUAGUUUGAAUCAAUCUAGCAAACCCUGAAUUAUGUGAAAACUUAUUGUCAUGACAAAGACUAUAAAAAAUGGAAAAUGAGACAAUUAAAGACCCCGUGACAAAUUUUAUAACGAGUAUAGAAAAUAACACAAAGGUAAUCCAUAGUAUUAUCUUUUCAAGGUUCUUCUUAGAUGUUGUAAAUAGGGUUUAUAGUACUAGUUAUUUUUUUAGCUACUUUGUCAUCAAUCACCCCAAGCCAUUACUAAACUGUUACUUAUCUGAUGACAGGUAAAACGAAACUUUAUUGCUGAUAUUACUGAAGUUUUAUGGCUGAGCAUCAAGAGCUCAAUAGUAGCCAAAGAGGGAGAGGGGGGAAGAAAACCUGCAAACUUUGUUAAAAUACUCAGUUGAAAUUUUUAGUUUAGAAUCAUAGAAUUGUUCAGGUUGGAAGGGAUCUUAAAAAUCAUCCAUUUCUACCUCCCCCCUGCCCCACACCUGUUCUGUCAUGGACAGGUUUGCCAGCCACUAGAUCAGGUUGCCCAGAGCCGUAUCCAACCUGGUCUUGAACACCUACAGGUUCAGUCAUCCACAGCUUCUCUGGGAAGCCUGUGCGAGUGCUUCCCCACCCUCUGAGUAAAGAAUUUAUUCCUUACAUCAAUUCUAAGCCUAUCUUCUUUUUAGAGAAACUGUUAACCCUUGUCCUAUUGUAUUCCCAUAUAUAAAAUGACUCCCCAUCUUUCCCAUAGACCUCUAGUACUUAAAUACUGGAAGGCCUCUUUAAGUUCUCUUCUUUAGUCUUAAGACUUCUUUAGGCUGAAUAACCACAGUUCUCUCUGUCUUUAUAGGAAGAGUGCUCCAGCCCUCUGAUCAUC